UUGGAACAAGGUUUGUUAAAAUCAAACAUUAACAGCCGUGUGUUUUCUGCAGUCUGUAAACUCUGUGUUCCACAACAUAAAUGAUCAUUAUUUUUUUCUUUCACUUAAAAAAUAAUCUUGAUCAUUAGACCCAUGAUUCAGAUCUGGGUGAAAGGUUAUAUGAUUAGACUUGCUCUAUGGGAAAGGAGAGGGAAGAGGAGGGCCAAGCACCUAUAAAACAUUAUAACCUCAGGGUAGUAAUUUUGUAAAACAAGCAUAUGAGUAGAUGGUGAUUCAGCACCAGUCUUCCCCCUGCCUCCCCCCACUCCCCGAAAUUAUACAUUUUAUUCUUGGGUGGGUGAGUGGGAAGGAAAAAAUGGUGGAUGGACAUGGGAUUAAAACGUAGACCUAAUGAUUCCCUUUGUUUUUUCCCAUCUCUGCUCUUGCCUAGAAAUUCCCUGAUUCCUCUGCCUUCAUUUCCUUGAGGAUACGGAUGAAUAGCUUGGGACUGAUGUUUACCUGCUAUUUGGGAAAGCUUGUUGGGUCAGUUCCCCUGAGUGGUCAUGAGACAGUGCCCAGCUUAGCAGGUGUGUCCCUGAAGUACAUUUGUCAUCAGAAAGGAAAUUCCUCUUUGUUGCAAAUGAAAUGUGAUUGCUUGUCAGGUUGUGCCUUGAGCGUUCAGAAGAAAUGUUACAUUAAUUGGUUAAAAUAUCAGAAUGCAACAGUUCUUAAUGACUCCACCAUGUCCUGAAGCACUGUCAGAAUAUGAAAUCGACUGGGUGAAUUUCCUCUUGAGUGACAGCUAUAAGUAUCUGCAAAAUGGACUUCUAAAUUUUCAGUGGUUGCCAAAUCAAGAUACUUCUGUAAGAAGAGACCCAGGUUCAAGAUUAAUGGGGUCUCUGAGAAACACGGUGCCAUCCUGCAGCCCUGCUGAUACUUCGGCGGCCUGGGUCUGUCACCGGAAGGGUCUUCUGCGCAGAACAGGAAGUGAACGGUGCACUUUACUCAGCGGGCCAAGACUGAGCUGA
rnacentral:lncRNA from 1 species